UUUACCAUCAAUACAUCCUUAUCCCUUUGUCCAAGAUUUUUCCUAUAAAUAGGACUUCACUUUACACAUCUUCUUCACAAAAUCCAAAACAAUAGAGAAGGAAAGGUAUAAACUCUUGUGAAAAAAAUUGAAGUUGGAAAGGGAAAUCCAGAAUCUUGAGGUCUUCAUUUUCAUCUUAGAGUAUAUUUAGCAUCUUCAAGAGGAAGAAAUUGCAGACCUAGAAUGUAACAAUGAGAUUGUCUAGUUUAACUUUUCAUGCAAAUUUGGAUUAUGUUAAAGCUACAACUGAUAUGGUGUAACUUGUUUGUGAUGUAUUCCAAACUAAAAGUACCUUUAGUUGGUUGUAAAAGUAUAAACAAACUUCUGUUACAAACACUUAUAUGUAUGUUAACAUUUUAUUCGCAUAAA